rnacentral:rRNA from 1 species
UACAGAGGGUGCAAGCGUUAAUCGGAAUUACUGGGCGUAAAGCGUGCGUAGACGGUUACAUAAGUCGGGUGUGAAAGCCCCGGGCUCAACCUGGGAAUUGCAUUCGAGACUGCGUAGCUAGGGUGCGGAAGAGGGAAGCGGAAUUUCCGGUGUAGCGGUGAAAUGCGUAGAUAUCGGAAGGAACACCAGUGGCGAAAGCGGCUUCCUGGUCCAGCACCGACGUUCAGGCACGAAAGCGUGGGGAUCAAACAGG